UGGGGUGUAGCCAAGUGGUAAGGCAACGGCCUUUGGCGCCGUCAUGCGUAGGUUCGAAUCCUACCGCCCCAA
rnacentral:tRNA from 1 species